rnacentral:rRNA from 1 species
CCUACGGGAGGCAGCAGUGGGGAAUUUUGGACAAUGGGCGCAAGCCUGAUCCAGCAAUGCCGCGUGAGUGAAGAAGGCCUUCGGGUUGUAAAGCUCUUUUGUCAGGGAAGAAACGGUGGGAGCUAAUAUCUCCUGCUAAUGACGGUACCUGAAGAAUAAGCACCGGCUAACUACGUGCCAGCAGCCGCGGUAAUACGUAGGGUGCAAGCGUUAAUCGGAAUUACUGGGCGUAAAGCGUGCGCAGGCGGUUUUGUAAGACUGUCGUGAAAUCCCCGGGCUCAACCUGGGAAUGGCGAUGGUGACUGCAAGGCUAGAGUUUGGCAGAGGGGGGUAGAAUUCCACGUGUAGCAGUGAAAUGCGUAGAUAUGUGGAGGAACACCGAUGGCGAAGGCAGCCCCCUGGGUCAAAACUGACGCUCAUGCACGAAAGCGUGGGGAGCAAACAGGAUUAGAUACCCUGGUAGUCCACGCCCUAAACGAUGUCUACUAGUUGUCGGGUCUUAAUUGACUUGGUAACGCAGCUAACGCGUGAAGUAGACCGCCUGGGGAUACGGUCGCAAGNUUAAAACUCAAAGGAAUUGACGG